rnacentral:rRNA from 1 species
AACGAACGCUGGCGGCGUGGAUAAGACAUGCAAGUCGAACGAGAGAAUUGCUAGCUUGCUAAUAAUUCUCUAGUGGCGCACGGGUGAGUAACACAUGAGUAACCUGCCCCCGAGAGCGGGAUAGCCCUGGGAAACUGGGAUUAAUACCGCAUAGUAUCGAAAGAUUAAAGCAGCAAUGCGCUUGGGGAUGGGCUCGCGGCCUAUUAGUUAGUUGGUGAGGUAACGGCUCACCAAGGCGAUGACGGGUAGCCGGUCUGAGAGGAUGUCCGGCCACACUGGAACUGAGACACGGUCCAGACACCUACGGGUGGCAGCAGUCGAGAAUCAUUCACAAUGGGGGAAACCCUGAUGGUGUGACGCCGCGUGGGGGAAUGAAGGUCUUCGGAUUGUAAACCCCUGUCAUGUGGGAGCAAAUUAAAAAGAUAGUACCACAAGAGGAAGAGACGGCUAACUCUGUGCCAGCAGCCGCGGUAAUACAGAGGUCUCAAGCGUUGUUCGGAAUCACUGGGCGUAAAGCGUGCGUAGGCUGUUUCGUAAGUCGUGUGUGAAAGGCGCGGGCUCAACCCGCGGACGGCACAUGAUACUGCGAGACUAGAGUAAUGGAGGGGGAACCGGAAUUCUCGGUGUAGCAGUGAAAUGCGUAGAUAUCGAGAGGAACACUCGUGGCGAAGGCGGGUUCCUGGACAUUAACUGACGCUGAGGCACGAAGGCCAGGGGAGCGAAAGGGAUUAGAUACCCCUGUAGUCCUGGCAGUAAACGGUGCACGCUUGGUGUGCGGGGAAUCGACCCCCUGCGUGCCGGAGCUAACGCGUUAAGCGUGCCGCCUGGGGAGUACGGUCGCAAGAUUAAAACUCAAAGAAAUUGACGGGGACCCGCACAAGCGGUGGAGUAUGUGGCUUAAUUCGAUGCAACGCGAAGAACCUUACCUGGGCUUGACAUGUAAUGAACAACAUGUGAAAGCAUGCGACUCUUCGGAGGCGUUACACAGGUGCUGCAUGGCCGUCGUCAGCUCGUGUCGUGAGAUGUUUGGUUAAGUCCAGCAACGAGCGCAACCCCUGUUGCCAGUUACCAGCACGUGAAGGUGGGGACUCUGGCGAGACUGCCCAGAUCAACUGGGAGGAAGGUGGGGACGACGUCAGGUCAGUAUGGCCCUUAUGCCCAGGGCUGCACACGUACUACAAUGCCCAGUACAGAGGGGGCCGAAGCCGCGAGGCGGAGGAAAUCCUGAAAACUGGGCCCAGUUCGGACUGUAGGCUGCAACCCGCCUACACGAAGCCGGAAUCGCUAGUAAUGGCGCAUCAGCUACGGCGCCGUAAAUACGUUCCCGGGUCU